AGAUUUCCGCGAAACGUGCGUGUGUUUUGAUGAAUCGAUCUGGGAGAACAUUUUCUACUGGGAAACAAUCAUUGUGUUUGAGAUACGGCUGUGACAGCAUCCACGGCAGUUAGCUUCGUCUGUAGAUGGUCACAAUGUCUUUGUGGAACCGAGCACAGCAGUUGCCUCCAGAUGCACUUCGCCAAGUCCAAAAUGUUUAUGGUGAACAAUUCCCAAUUGAGGUUCGACAUUACCUGGCUGGAUGGAUUGAAGAUAAGAUGCAGCAAUGGAAUGAAAUUGAUCCUGACAACGCAGGCCACAGCCAGUUUGCACAUUCAUUAGUAUCGCAGCUAGUCCAGGAAAUGGAAACCAAAGCUCUCAGUUAUAGCAGCAAUGAGGACCUUUUCCUCGUUCGUAUACGCCUGGAUGAAGCUGCAAAUUUAUUUAAGACACGGUACCUGAAUAGUAAUCCACUUGCUUUAGUGUCCAUUAUACGUGAGUGCCUCAAAACAGAACUUCACUUGGUUCAGCAACACGAAAACAUGUUGGGAGGUGUUGCCCAUGUAGCCAACAUGGUUGUUGAACCAUGUGCAGAAAUAGUUAGUGAACUCGAAAUAUUACUUCGGCGAACUCGUGAAACGGCAGAUGAAUUGAGACAUCUGGAACAGGAACAGGAAUCAUUUGCCCUACAGUAUCACGAUUGUGCAAAAAUUAAUGCUCAUCUAUCUCACAUUCAAGGUCAAGAAAGAACGGCGCAGAAUCGAGAAGUGGAACAGAACUUGAGGAGGCGAAAAGAAAUUGGUGAACAACAGUUGGCUCAGAAGGUGUCGGGAUUGCUGCAGCGACGCAUGGACCUGGCAGAGAAGCACAAGGGAACCAUCGAUCGCCUAAACAGUCUUCAGCAGCGGAUUCUUGAUGAAGAACUCAUUAACUGGAAACGGGAACAACAAAUGGCAGGGAACGGAAAACCAUUUAACCAAAAUAAACUUGAUCAGAUACAAGAAUGGUGUGAGGCAUUGGCAGAAAUAAUAUGGUUGAAUCGGCAUCAGAUUAAGGAAUGUGAACGUCAUCAAACAAAAAUACCUAUAACACCGCCCGGAGGCGUUGAUAUGCUACCUACUCUCAACUCUCAUAUUACACGUCUUUUGUCUUCUCUUGUCACAAGCACAUUCAUCAUUGAGAAACAACCACCACAAGUGAUGAAAACAAACACGCGGUUUACAGCUACAGUGCGGUUGCUGGUGGGUGGCAAACUUAAUGUCAACAUGACGCCACCUCAGGUUCGAGUAUCUAUCAUCAGUGAAGCACAAGCCAAUGCACUAUUAAAGAAUGAUCAGAUGAACAAAGGUGAACAGUCAGGAGAAAUUCUAAAUAACACAGGCACCAUGGAAUACCAUCAGGGCACAAGACAACUAUCUGUUAGUUUCCGCAACAUGCAGCUGCGCAAAAUUAAACGAGCUGAAAAGAAGGGCACAGAGUCUGUUAUGGAUGAGAAGUUCUCCUUACUCUUCCAAUCACAGUUCAGCGUUGGUGGUGGUGAACUUGUUUUCCAAGUGUGGACAUUGUCGUUACCAGUUGUGGUGAUUGUCCACGGCAACCAAGAGCCUCAUGCGUGGGCAACAGUUUCAUGGGACAAUGCUUUUGCGGAACAAGGGCGCAUACCCUUCACAGUCCCGGAGAAGGUACCAUGGCCCCAGAUUGCAGAUAUGUUGGAUUCCAAAUUUAAGUCUGCCACUGGUCGAGGACUGACUGAUGAUAACCUUAAGUUCUUAGCAGGCAAGGCUUUCAGGAGUCCCCAAGUGCAAGACUUCAAUAAUAUGUACUUGUCAUGGUCGCAGUUUUGCAAGGAGCCACUGUCAGAGCGUAACUUUACCUUCUGGGAAUGGUUCUUUGCUGUUAUGAAGGUUACAAGAGAACAUCUGCGCCAGCCUUGGAAUGACGGUUCAAUAAUGGGAUUUGUUGGGCGUCGUCAAGCAGAGGACAUGUUAAAAAAUUCCAUAUCUGGCACUUUCCUUCUGCGUUUUUCUGAUUCAGAGCUAGGGGGUGUCACAAUUGCCUGGAUGUAUGAAGAUACCACGAAGGCUGGUGAUCAGCGCGAUGUGUUCAUGCUUCAACCAUUCACAAGUAAAGCCUUUGCUAUCCGUCCUCUUGCUGAUGUGAUUGCUGAUCUAAAGUAUCUGCUCUUCUUGUACCCUAACAUACCUAAGGAGCAAGCAUUUGGGAAGUACUACACACCUAUGGCAGAACAGCAACCAUCAGUUAACGGCUAUGUUAAACCUCAUCUGAUCACUCACGUCCCAGGAUGGUCAGGUGCAGGGUCAAUGGAUUCUUAUCCCAACACUCCACAGCCAAUGUGCCAAAUGCAUGAUGGUGGCAUGGGUGACCCUCCGUCCGUCAGUUCAAACCCCUCCGAUUGUGUGUCCACAAUGCCCUACAACGACACUGAUUAUCCCGACAUCCUCGAUAACCUGCCAGAACCAGACUUCACUGAUAUCAACCUCGACUUCCUCCCACCCAACUUUAUGAAGCUUCAGUGAAGUUGUUAAAUGUAGCAUCUGUUCUUUUUUUCCAAUAUUAUCUUGGAAAUGAAGUGAUUGAAGGGGCAGGAGCCAUCAGUAUCAUUGGAGAACCAGGAAAUAGUCAAAACUGAAUUUAUAUUUUUCAUUAAAAUUUGAUUAAAUUCAUACUUUAUUUUUAUUGAAAUGCUAUGUGAUGCAAUUGUCAAUUUGAUUUGUCUUUAAUACCAGAAAGCAACAGCAUGUUGAAAAUAAUUUAAAGGAUGAACUUUUACUGUUAUACACAGUAAGUAUGUUAGAUUUAUGUUGUUGCCCCAAGUUUGUGAACUCUUUAUACAAAGAUUAUAUGAUAUAAAAUUACAACAUUUCCACAGUACUAAGGUAUCCAUGUGAAAAGCAAGCCAAGAAACACGUCAUUGUAGUUGUGGAUCAAAUAAAAUGUGAUUAGGGUUUUGCAAAUAUUUUAUGUAAUACAUAUAAAUUUCUUAUUCAAUAUUCACUGGAUAUUUUGGUUACUUUUUCCUUUUAUUUGGAUGGAUUGCUUGGUGCUUGCACUGUUUUGAGAUGUAUUUUGCACUUGCAUAGCAAAGGGAGAGAUGGAUUUUGGAAUCAAUCAUGGUCAAAGUGUAAUUUACCUCAUUUGGAUUUUUAUUAAACAAAUUUGUCAAUGAGGAAUACAAGGAAAUAAUUGUUAUUCAUAAUGUUUUUGUUAUUUUUGUUAGAUUGAAAGUGUAAGUAUGGUUAGCUUAUGUUUUCACUUUUAUGAUUAUUGUUUUGUAAAUGAAAUGCUGUUAACUCCUAUAUAAACAAAAUACAAUUGGUUGUUCAGACUUCAUUAGUAGGUACCCGGGGGUGUUUGCUCACACCAACAUAAAAAUAAAUGACAAAGAAUUACUUUAUAGUUUUAAGUAAUUUAACAUAAAUUUGUCGAUCUUUUGUAUUGUGCAUGACAUGUUGGUACAUGAUAUGUCUUUGAGUUUAACUUAAGCAUUUGUGCAGUGUUUUCUGUGGUUUCCUGUACUCUCCAAGAGGAAGAAAAUGAUUCUUCCUCUAACUCGAGCAGGAUUGCUGGAACUUUGGGUCUCGCUCAGUGAUUCAGUAAGGUACUAGAGAGAUUUGAAAUAUUAUUGUUGCCAACUGUGAAAUGUGAGGAUUAAUGCUUGGAGGGAAGUUGAAACACUCCAGGGUACUAAUGUAGGGUUAAAGUAUCUUAAGAAAUAUUUCUAUCAUGUAUGAUGCUUUGUAUAUUAAGAGAAGACUGGUUCUUGUAGAAUCUUUGUCUGAUGUUAUGUUUUUCUGUAAAAAAAAAUUUAUGUACAGUAAAGGAUGGAUGUACAGUAUUAAUAAAUUUUAUAUUACAGUACUAGGGUAGAAAGUGCCUGAACAACAUGUUUGAAGAGCUUUUAGAAUCUUGAAAUUUUUAAUUAUGGUUAUAAAGGAGUUGUGGAGGUACUUUUGAGGGAGUUAUUAACAGGAACUGCCUCCUGUUAACCGAGGUUAACAGGAGGGAGGUAUAUUCUACGUAAAUUGUUGCUGAUUUUACAGUAGAAGGAAAGGUUGUCUUGACUAGAUGAUAUGGCUUGAAACUAAAGAGAGACAAAAUGUUAUUGUCAGUACUCAAGUGUAUCUGCACAUGACUAAUAUGCUUUGUUAAAGCAGUUUGGGAAAGUUGCUAGCAAUUAAUCCUUUUGUCUUUAAACCAAGAUGGUAUUAUCUGAGGUAAUGUACAUUAUUAUGUGAAGAAGAUUGUUAAGGUGUGUAUGAGCUUGGAAAAAGCAGAAGAGGAAGUUAACAAGGAAGGAUGUGGGAGAGUGAUGACCAUGAGAUGAGUUACCCAAGUUCUGUUAAAUGCUGAGAAAUGAUUCUAUGUAGGAAGUAGUGCAGGUGCAAGAGUUUUGUAAUAAGUGACUGGCUGGAUGUUAAUGUAGGUGUAUGCUAGGGUUGUGUGAUGUCACUUUGGUUUUUCUAUACUGAAUACUAAGAAUAUUAGAGAAAGGUAUUGACCUAGUAUACAUGUGCUGUAACUGGAGUAUGCCAGAUUGAUUGUAUGUAUAUGAUACAGUUCUUUUAGUAUAAUGAGAAAUGUUGACUAGUUAAACAUAAGAGAGAAAUGUUGAAAGUAACUGUGAAAAGAAAGUGAAGUUAUGGUAGUGAAGAGAGGUUGAGAGUAAGGGAAGCCAAGGAAGGAAGGUGUCUGGUGCAAUCAAGUCCCCGGUGAGAAACAACAAGAUACAACCAGAGGGCUUGAUCUGUGGACAGAUGGGAAACAAUGGUAUGUGAUAUGAAAAUAAUUAAGAUUUAGAGCAGUAGAAAUGGAAAAAUCUGAGAAGUAUGUAUGGUAUUAGAAUAGAUAUAGUAAAGAUGAUCUGGAGGAAUUAGCAGUACAAAUGUUGAUAAAUGGCAAGAUACAGGAGAACAUACCAAAAUGGUUUGGACAUGCCAACUGAAUGGAUUAUGGUGGACUGGUGAAUUAUGUGUAUUAAAGUGAAUUUCAGAGUAUGGUGAACGAAAAGACUAUGAUGGACAUGAUGAUCGAGUGUGAGAGAGGAAGUGGGGAUUGAGAGUGAGCGAUGCAUGGAAUAUGGUGAGAGGUAAGACGGUGUGAGAGAGGUUUUGUAAGGUGGGAGUGAAUGUACUUGUUUAUUUGUGUAUAUGCCAGUUGACAAGGAGCAUUGUACCCUGGUGCUGCUGUAGGUGACUGCUGUUAUGGCAGUGUGUGUGUGUGUGUUUAUCCGUGAUUUUCUGUAGUGUGCAUGACAGUGAAUGGAGAAGUGCAUGAUUGUUGUUUUAUGAAUAUACUGUAUGUAACUUUCUUUCAUUAUAUUCCCCAUUUUCUUAAGGUUGAUGUCUUCCCACCCCAUGUAAAUGGAAAAUGAAGUAAUGAUGAUAAUUAAUGUAUGAGAAAAUUAAAGGGGUAUGUAGCUUAUUUAAAAUGUACAGUUAAUCUUAUGUAGGUGAGGAUGGUGGAAUAUAGGCAUUUUUUUUCUUUUUUUUUCUUUUUUUCUUUUUUUUUUUAAGGAAUACACAUGUGAUUCCUUAAUCACACUACAUCUAAGAUUUAAUUUGACAAAGUCAUAUGUUUGGAAGCGAUAUUUUAUUUUUCCUCUUCUCUCAUAUUUUCAAGCAGAUGUAUAAUACUUUAUCUGUAGAAUAUUAACCACUGAAUAUUGGAUUGUUUGAACUGGGGCUGCAUCAGUGUUUGACGAUGUUGAGGCUCAACAUAUGAGUACCUAGUACCGUAUGUUAGUUUAGGAACAGUGCACAAGUGCCACUUGAAUGGCCUGACACAAUUUUUCCAGUCAACUAUACAUUUAGGUUAAUGUGUCAAUGAGUAUCGCAUGUACAUACUUAAUUGUUGGCCCAAUUUAUAACAAAAAUCUCUCGCCACUUUGUAAUAGGAAGAUGGAAAUGUCAUUGGCUUAGUUACAUGUCGGUCACACAGGACUAACUCUUGUAAUGGAACACCGUCCAGAUUGCAUUGUUAUGCUCAUAGUCAUCCAUCUUUCGGUUGAAUGUCCUGACUUUUGGGGGUGACUGUUUUGUUUUGUCGUUGUUCCUAUAUGCCAGCCUACAGAAAGUGUGUAUGCAAGAAUAGUAGUGACAUGAGAACAUUGAUGGGAAGAAAAGGUAGGAGCAGUGCUAGAGCAGACAAAGUGUUGGAAGAAAGACAGAAAAUGUCAGGGAAAAGCUUGCUUAAAAGUAAUGUACUGUAUUGCAUAGAUAUGAUGUACAUGUAAUUAUUUAAGGUGAGGGAAGAAGACUGCUUGGAUUACAUUCAUGGAUAGUAGUAAAUAUCACUAUAGAUGUACUGUACUGUCAGUAGAUGGUUAAACAAUAUAUUUUUAACUAAAAAAUAUGCACGGUUGUUUUAAGAUAAAAUUAAUUUAAUUCCCAGCAUAAGCAUAUACAGUAUAUAUAUCUUAAGCCUAACCAUAAACAGCACAGAGGUGUGUGUGUGCACUAUAUCUCUCAAUUGGAGUAGUGUAUUUUUAUUAAAGUUCAUAUUUUCUGGGAGGUGCAGUAUUUGAAAUCUCCAAAGUGGGCUGACAAAUAAAAGUGAGUUUCAUCUUUGAGGAAGAAGUGCACAAGUAACAAGUAUUUUAUGAAUGGAACACAUGCAAUGUUCUGUAAAAUAAACAAAAAGCACCACGAAGUUCUAAAUAUUAAGGGUUCAGAGCAGCAAAUGUUAAGGUAGCUUAAUGAGUUUCCAGUACUGAAUGGUAUUGCAAAUUUUGAAUAACAAUUCAAAUGAAAAGACAAGCAGAAGUAAAUGAUUAAUAUGAAAAUUGGCCUUGCUGUACUAAAGAUAUUAGGUUAUGUGAAGGAAAGAUUGAUGCUUGUUGUGCAGUCUGGCUAUGGUAACAGGCUUGGAAUAGCUGACCAGUUAGUUGCUUGUGAGAACAGGCCUCAAAUACUUUGAGAGCUUUAUUAUGUAUUUGAAUUGAAGUACUGUAUCAAGAUGGUACAGUACUUAAUAAUACAAAAUAAAUUGUCCAUUUGUUAGUCCUAUACAACAUACUGAAUUAAAAUAAAUUGUAUUUGAAGUUUG
rnacentral:misc_RNA from 1 species